CUAUGGCAGUGGUUAUGAAAAUUCCAACUUUUGUCCCGAUCCCGGUUACUGCAGAUCCAGAGUCAUUUCCUAUUGUUGAACUGAUUAGAGCCCGUAGAGAUUUUGAAAUUACGGCAGCCAUAGUGACAGCUGUGGCGGUAUCUGCUGCUGCAGCAGUUAUAGCUGGAGUAGCCAUGGCCAGCCAGGUACAAACUGCUGCCACUAUUAAUCAGGUUAUUCAACAAACAUCCACCAUACUUGAAUCUCAAAGUAGAAUUAAUCAACACAUUUUAUCUGGGAUUCUGGCUGCUAAUCAAAGGAUAGAUCUGCUUCAAGCUCAAGUUGAGGAAUUGUCUGACCUAGUACAUUUGGGUUGUAUUGAUCAACGUGCACAUUUAUGUAUAACCUCUGUCAGAUUUAAUGAUUCCAGAAAUGCCUCCCGCAUCAUCGGGGAGUAUCUAUCCGGAACCUGGUCCAUGGAAGCAGAAAACAUGAUCCAGUCUCAAAUAACCCAGAUAGCUGUCUUGAACAGUACCCGUGUCGAUCCCGUGACUUUGGGUCAAUUCACUGAUUGGAUAUCUUCUG
rnacentral:lncRNA from 1 species